rnacentral:rRNA from 1 species
AGUGAACGCUGGCGGUAGGCCUAACACAUGCAAGUCGAACGGCAGCACAGUAAGAGCUUGCUCUUACGGGUGGCGAGUGGCGGACGGGUGAGGUAUACAUCGGAAUCUACUUUUUCGUGGGGGAUAACGUGGGGAAACUUACGCUAAUACCGCAUACGACCUACGGGUGAAAGCAGGGGAUCUUCGGACCUUGCGCGAUUGAAUGAGCCGAUGUCGGAUUAGCUAGUUGGCGGGGUAAAGGCCCACCAAGGCGACGAUCCGUAGCUGGUCUGAGAGGAUGAUCAGCCACACUGGAACUGAGACACGGUCCAGACUCCUACGGGAGGCAGCAGUGGGGAAUAUUGGACAAUGGGCGCAAGCCUGAUCCAGCCAUACCGCGUGGGUGAAGAAGGCCUUCGGGUUGUAAAGCCCUUUUGUUGGGAAAGAAAAGCAGCAGGUUAAUACCCCGCUGUUCUGACGGUACCCAAAGAAUAAGCACCGGCUAACUUCGUG